rnacentral:rRNA from 1 species
GAUGAACGCUGGCGGCGUGCCUAAUACAUGCAAGUCGAGCGAACAGACGAGGAGCUUGCUCCUCUGACGUUAGCGGCGGACGGGUGAGUAACACGUGGAUAACCUACCUAUAAGACUGGGAUAACUUCGGGAAACCGGAGCUAAUACCGGAUAAUAUUUUGAACCGCAUGGUUCAAUAGUGAAAGACGGUCUUGCUGUCACUUAUAGAUGGAUCCGCGCUGCAUUAGCUAGUUGGUAAGGUAACGGCUUACCAAGGCAACGAUGCAUAGCCGACCUGAGAGGGUGAUCGGCCACACUGGAACUGAGACACGGUCCAGACUCCUACGGGAGGCAGCAGUAGGGAAUCUUCCGCAAUGGGCGAAAGCCUGACGGAGCAACGCCGCGUGAGUGAUGAAGGUCUUCGGAUCGUAAAACUCUGUUAUUAGGGAAGAACAAAUGUGUAAGUAACUAUGCACGUCUUGACGGUACCUAAUCAGAAAGCCACGGCUAACUACGUG